GAACAGGGAUGAGCCCAGCACCGAACCUCGCGCUCGGUCGAGCGAGUGCCGAGGAAUGUGGUGUUCGGGAGGAUCGUGCGCGCCUGUCCGGUAUUAUCGUCCAAGUCUCCAUGAACGGGGCGAGCAACCCACAGAGGGUGUCAGGCCCGUAGAUUCGGCGAGCCGAGACCGUGCAUCGGAUCCCUUCCCAAGAGUCGGGUUGCUUGAGCGUGCAGCCCUAAGCGGGAGGUAAACUCCUUCUAAGGCUAAAUAUCGCCACGAGACCGAUAGCGAACAAGUACCGCGAGGGAAAGUUGAAAAGAACUUUGAAGAGAGAGUUCAAGAGUGCGUGAAACCGUUCAGGGGGUUAAACGGGUGGGCCCUCGAAGGUCGAACGAACCCCCGCUCCCGGCACUUGGUUGCAUGCCCCCGCUGCGAGAGACUACCUCUUAAAUGAGAGCUCUAUUCGCUCGGCGGGGACCGCAUUAGCCGCGCCAAGGUCCGCUAGCGUGAGGGGUCAAGUAGGACUCCGCGACCGACUGGGUGUCUGUUAUACGGGGCGUUUGUUAGCGAGUCUCGGUGGCUUCACGGCCUCGAUGGCGAGCGCGGCGCCUCCCAACAGUACUGCCCGGUCGUGACCUGUGUUCUCUCGGCGUUUCUCUUACUUCCUUUAACC
rnacentral:rRNA from 1 species